GAUGAAUAACGCAGCGAAAUGCGAUAAGUAAUGUGAAUUGCAGAAUUCAGUGAAUCAUCGAAUCUUUGAACGCACAUUGCGCCCGCCAGUAUUCUGGCGGGCAUGCCUGUUCGAGCGUCAUUUCAACCAUCAAGCCCCCGGCUUGUGUUGGGGACCUGCGGCUGCCGCAGGCCCUGAAAACCAGUGGCGGGCUCGCUGUCACACCGAGCGUAGUAGAUUUUCAUCUCGCUCAGGGCGUGCUGCGGGUUCCGGCCGUAAAAAGCCUUAUUUACCCAAGGUUGACCUCGGAUCAGGUAGGAAGACCCGCUGAACUUAAGCAUAUCAAUAAGCGGAGGA
rnacentral:misc_RNA from 1 species